UUCCGGUUGAUCCUGCCGGACCCGACUGCUAUUUGGGUGAGAAUAAGCCAUGCGAGUUGAAUGGGAUGCCUAAAGUUCCCAUAGCAAACUGCUCAGUAACACAUGAUCAACUUACCCUAUAGAGAAAAAUAACCUCGGGAAACUGAGGAUAAUGUUUCAUAAUUGAAUUGGCUUGGAAAAGUUUUUCAAUGAAAGGGAUAAAAAAAAUGGUUUUUAUCUGCUAUAGGAUAGGAUCGUGUUCGAUUAUGGUUGUUGGUGAGAUAAUGGCUCACCAAGCCGAUAAUCGAUAGGGGCCGUGAGAGCGGGAGCCCCGAGAUGGGUACUGAGACAACGACCCAGGCCUUACGAGGCGCAGCAGGCGCGGAACCUCCGCAAUACACGAAAGUGUGACGGGGUUACCCAAAGUGUUCAAUAGAACUGUGGUAGGUGAGUAAUGUCCCCUACUAGAAAGGAGAGGGCAAGGCUGGUGCCAGCCGCCGCGGUAAAACCAGCUCUUCAAGUGGUCGGGAUAAUUAUUGGGCUUAAAGUGUCCGUAGCCGGUUUAGCAAGUUCCUGGUAAAAUCGGGUAGCUUAACUAUCUGCAUGCUAGGAAUACUGCUAUACUAGAGGGCGGGAGAGGUCUGAGGUACUACAGGGGUAGGGGUGAAAUCUUAUAAUCCUUGUAGGACCACCAGUGGCGAAGGCGUCAGACUGGAACGCGCCUGACGGUGAGGGACGAAGGCCAGGGGAGCGAACCGGAUUAGAUACCCGGGUAGUCCUGGCCGUAAACGAUGCAUACUAGGUGAUGGUACGGCCAUGAGCCGUAUCAGUGCCGUAGGGAAACCGUUAAGUGUGCCGCCUGAGAAGUACGGUCGCAAGGCUAAAACUUAAAGGAAUUGGCGGGGAGCACCACAAGGGGUGAAGCCUGCGGUUCAAUUGGAUUCAACGCCGGGAAUCACUAGUGCGGCCGC
rnacentral:rRNA from 1 species